rnacentral:tRNA from 1 species
GGGAUUGUGGCUCAGUGGUAGAGCACUUGCCUCUCAAGUAUGAGGCACUAGGUUCAAUCCUUAGCACCA